ACCUGGUUGAUCCUGCCAGUAGUCAUAUGCUUGUCUUAAAGAUUAAGCCAUGCAUGUCUAAGUAUAAGCAUUUAUACCGCGAGACUGCGAACGGCUCAUUAAAACAGUUAUGGUUUAUUUGAUGGUUCCUUUGCUACUUGGAUAACCGUAGUAAUUCUAGAGCUAAUACAUGCACGAAGGGGCGACUUACGAAGCCCUGUAUUUAUUAGAUUAAAGCCAACCACCUCCGGGUGUUCGUGGUGAAUCAUAGUAACUUCUCGGAUCGCCGGCUCUACGCCAGCGACGUGUCAUUCAAAUUUCUGCCCUAUCAGCUUUAGAUGGUAGGAUAUGGGCCUACCAUGGCGGUGACGGGUAACGGAGAAUUAGGGUUCGAUUCCGGAGAGGGAGCCUGAGAAACGGCUACCACUUCUAAGGAAGGCAGCAGGCGCGCAAAUUACCCAAUCCUGACUCAGGGAGGUAGUGACAAGAAAUAACAAUAAACCGGCUUAUGCCGGUUUAAUUGGAAUGAGUACAAUUUAAACAUCUUAACGAGGAACAAUUGGAGGGCAAGUCUGGUGCCAGCAGCCGCGGUAAUUCCAGCUCCAAUAGCGUAUACUAAAGUUGUUGCAGUUAAAAAGCUCGUAGUUGGAUUUCUGCGGGGGCGGGGCGGCCGGACGCCACUGGUGUCUCGGGCUAGCACUUCCCCCGCAUCCUGCCGCGAACCGUGCUACCAUUAGUUUGGUGGCGCCGGGGAUCGGCUCGUUUACUUUGAGAAAAAUAGAGUGUUCAAAGCAGGCCACACGCCUUGAAUAAGUUAGCAUGGAAUAAUAAUAAAGGACUUCGGUUCUAUUUUGUUGGUGUUCGGGACUGAAGUAAUGAUUGAUAGGGACAGUUGGGGCGGUCUGUAUUCCAAAGCGAGAGGUGAAAUUCUUAGACCUUCGGAAGACAAACAGCUGCGAAAGCGUUCCGCAAGGAUGUUCCCUUUGAUCAAGAACGAAAGUUGGGGGAUCGAAGACGAUCAGAUACCGUCGUAGUCUCAACUAUAAACUAUACCAGCUAGGGAUCGGCCAACGUUAUUCAAAUCGACUUGGUCGGCACCUUAUGAGAAAUCAAAGCAUCUGGGUUCCGGGGGGAGUAUGGUCGCAAGGCUGAAACUUAAA
rnacentral:rRNA from 1 species